rnacentral:lncRNA from 1 species
UGGAAUUAUUUUCACAAUAGUCAUUAGUCAAUAUUAUUAUACUAAGCAACAACCAGUUUGAUUAGUACAGUAAAAAUUUAGACUUACGUUAACCAGGGGGUAAACCUACUUGUUAAGGGGAAUUAGCUAACUAGUUGUCUUGACCAUUGGGAAAAAAAUAAUCAAAAUCACAAAAUCAAAAUCAAACUUUGCGAUUUUGCAGAGAAGUCCGGAGGUCUGGAAGAGCAGCGUAACAACCAAUAUCACAAAAUACCCUCCAAUCAAAGGAAUUAAUAGUCAAAAACCCAAAAGGGAGAAUCAGAAUCAUCAAAUACCAUAAAGAAUUAAAGAUGAAUCAAUUCUACAAAACACCCAUAUGAAAUCCCCGUCGUUGAACUUUACAGGGAUGACCACGCCUGACGCCGGAGCAGUCGCCAGUCGAGCAGCGGAGCAAGAGUUGGAUUCGAUUUGAAUUAUGAGGAUAAACCUCAGUCGACAGUUAGCAGCAGAACAGAUAGUUGAAUUUCAGAUUUUGAAUUUGAAUUUUAGGAAUUUUGGAUUAGAGACUAUAACAACUAUAAGGCUAGGCCGAAAGCAAAAGAAGAGGAAUUAUAAAUUCAUUAGUUACCAAUUAAUGUCUUGGGUUGAAAACCGGGGGAUCCAGAUACUGAAAGAAGGAAAUGAAUCCAUAUCCAUUUUUGUCACGUGAUUCCAAUACUUGUUGUUGGGUUCUAAAAUUUAAUCGAUCAAUUGCUUGAUGCACAAUCCAAAGCUCUAGCCCAGGUUUCAAUCUGAUUCCUGUCUAAAACAGCCCAGGAAAUAACACCAUUAACCUAGCUUAGGGUAAUGUUAAGUCUCCCGUCAUCAUCAAAAUAUUUCACAUCAUUAAUUAAUUUUCAGCCCUCCUGCUCCUGCUCCUGCUCCUGCUCCUGCAGGUAAAUGGUGGUUGGGCGUGGUCCCUUGCUUUUUACCCAAUCUUUCAAUUUUUGGGCUGAAUUCUGUAGCCUAAACGGCGAUUUAGGCGGCCAAAUUAGUUGUCAUUUGCUUUCAUGAUGAGUUGAUUAUACCAGCACGAGGAGGAAAUAGGCGCUGGCUACGAUGGUGGUCAUGUAAACCACCGCCUUGGUCAUUUUAUGGAUCGAUGAUGAAAAUCUUGUAUUAAUUUUGCUUUCAUGACAAAUACAUACAUACAUACAUACCGUUGUUGCCCUUUAUUCAUUCUUCAAUUAAUAUAUAUGUUUUGUCUCAAAUACAUAAUUAAUUAAUUAAUUAAUUACUAUAUAUAUAUAUAUAUGUUUAUAUCUAGUACUUGUGCAUGGCUGAUUCCUAAUUUAAUGGAUAUAUAGUGCUCGCUCGCUCUCUACUAACAUUAAUCCUAUAUAGUAGGAGUAUUGAAAAUGUGCAUCCAUCUUGAUCUAAAAGUAUUUUUACUUUGUUAUAUUGGAAUUUUG